rnacentral:rRNA from 1 species
AGCCCAUACCCGGCCGCCGGAGGCAGAAAUCUGCGGACGGAUGUUGCGGGACUNCCUUCGGGGAGUUUUGCAUGCCGUCGGUGCGGAAGAGAGGCCCCGGUGAGUAGGAGGGUCGCAGCGGCGUGCGUUGAAGGUGUCGGGCGUAGGCCCGCCNGGAGCCGCCGCUGGUGCAGAUCUUGGUGGUAGUAGCAAAUACUCGAGUGAGAACCUUGAGGACUGAAGUGGAGAAGGGUUCCAUGUGAACAGCAGUUGAACAUGGGUCAGUCGGCCCUAAGGAAUAGGGGAAACCCGUUCCGAAGCGUGGGGAAAGAUGAAACAAAAUUGAAAUCAAGUAAAAAUGAAUUGGCAUUGAAAGAGAGCGAUCGCGUCCUAGAGGGCCUUCGCGGAGAGAGAAUGAAGAAAAGACGUAUAUCUUGGGGAAAAAUNCUGGUAAGAAACCCGGAAUACGAUCUGUGAAAAAUGCAAUUCUAGACAUUAAUCAGGACUGCUUGUAAGAAAAUGUCAAUAAAAAAACCCCCGAAAGACCGAAAGGGAAUCGGGUUAAUAUUCCCGAACCCGGACACGGAGAUUGGCCCUCCGGGGCCCGAUGCGGUAACGCAAACGAACUCGGAGAAGUCGGCGGGAGUCCCGGGAAGAGUUGUCUUUUCUUUGUAAGGGACGGACACCCUGGAAUCGGCUCGCCCGGAGAGAGGGUUGUUGUUCCCGUAAAGCACCGCGGCUCUUGCGGUGUCCGGAGCACUCCCGCCGGCCCUUGAAAAUCCGAGGGAGAGAAAAUAAUUUUCGUGCCGGACCGUACCCAUAUCCGCAGCAG